rnacentral:rRNA from 1 species
GAUGAACGCUGGCGGCGUGCCUAAUACAUGCAAGUCGAACGAAACUUCUUUAUCACCGAGUGCUUGCGCUCACCGAUAAAGAGUUGAGUGGCGAACGGGUGAGUAACACGUGGGCAACCUGCCCAAAAGAGGGGGAUAACACUUGGAAACAGGUGCUAAUACCGCAUAACCAUAGUUACCGCAUGGUAACUAUGUAAAAGGUGGCUAUACUACCGCUUUUGGAUGGGCCCGCGGCGCAUUAGCUAGUUGGUAGGGUAAAGGCUUACCAAGGCAAUGAUGCGUAGCAGAAUUGAGAGGUUGAUCGGCCACAUUGGGACUGAGACACGGCCCAAACUCCUACGGGAGGCAGCAGUAGGGAAUCUUCCACAAUGGGCGAAAGCCUGAUGGAGCAACGCCGCGUGGGUGAAGAAGGUCUUCGGAUCGUAAAACCCUGUUGUUAGAGAAGAAAGUGCGUGAGAGUAACUGUUCACGUUUCGACGGUAUCUAACCAGAAAGCCACGGCUAACUACGUG